AAGGUGAACCGACUCUGUGCAGAACUCUGGUCGUGACUCGAAACGAGGUUCGCGGGGCGGCCGCUUGGGAGUUCCCAGAAACUUGCGUCGGGCGGCAGGGACAAACGAAAGACAGCGGCCCAGGCGAAAAGGAUGAAAUGGGCUGCGCGAACGCGAAGAACCAGUCGCAGUUGAUUUUGAGACACUGUGAGAGAAGAGGCGCGGGUUGCCCCGGACGCAGGAGAGACGGCACAGCUCAUCAUGUGGAACCUCCCGUAGUGCUGCUUCAGUGCGGAAAAAGUCGACCUGCGCGGGGGGACAAAGGCCUUGAACCCUCCCAACCGACUGGCUCAGCUGCCUUGGCUGCUCUGGGCAGCUGAGAGCGAGAGUCGCAUGCAGUUCGUCUAAAGUUCAAAGGUUCUUCCCCAGAGGAUUUGGAGUUCCGGGGGUGGGGGAGGGGCGCCCUCGCGGGAUUCGUGACCGGAGGAAACUGCUCGAUGAACCGCCAACGGAGUACACUCCAGAGAGUCAACCACGGGCGACCUCGGCUGACCUGUGCAAAAGGACUUGCCUCGAAGGACAGCGUGACUCACGAGACUGGAUAACGUUUGCCGCCUGUCUUGAGGCUGCUCAUAUAAAAAGGCCCACACUGCGACUGACUGUCGUCACUCUCUGUCAGCGACGUUGUCACGAAGGCGGUAAAACGCCACUGGCGUAGGCGACCGACUGACCUUGACUACAGAAGUUUCGCUCUCCUGAUGGAAAGAACAAGAGGGCUGAGCGCCGUCAUCUGGGGACCGACGAAGAUCAGGCCGCCCAAGACGAAGAGAAGAUCGGUAAAUAUCACGCGGGUAUUCGCGCGAAGCCCCACACAGGCAAGGCGGCCGCCCAGCCACACCGGAAUCAGAAUUAGGGUGCGAAGUCAUCCCAAGGAAAAGAGGCUGAGUCAAUCAGGAAGCCAAGAGGAAAAGCACGAGUUAACUUUGCGGAGACUGCCAGAGAAGUGAACACACAGUCACAAUCGCUCGACUACAGCGCCACACGACGCUCGGCGGACGAGACAAGCGUGCGUUUGAGCCCGAAGCUGUCGGGCUAGCCAUGACGCCCGCUUAGUGCCCCAUCUUGGAAGAAUCGGAGCAAAAGAGUGUCUCCAGUUUUUCUUGCAGUUGAGAAGGGACAGGUGAGAGCACAUGACAUCGGCAGGCUUUCAGGGGGCUCGCGACGACCACGAACCACGUAGCUGGACGAGAGCACUGACAGGCGAGAGUGGCCGCAAAGGUUUUGAGUUUCAGGAAACACAGGAUCCGUCUUUAGACUUCUUUGUUGACUCGGCUUUUGCCUUUCCUUUGGUCCCAUCUAGUCAAGAAAGAGAGCGACGGCCAGUUUUUCUAAACACAUCGGGGACAAAUGGUCACUUCUGGGCUCGGAAGGUCGGAGCGGGGCGCAGGAUGUCUAGCGGCUGUCUUUUCGGUGCUGCGCCGGCCCGCCGGGGCGAGACCGUCGGUCCACGGGCGCUCUCAGAGCUAGAGACGUUUAAUUGCCUUCAUGUCUUCUGCUCGGCCUUUAGCAAAAACCACGUUGCUCGCGAGGGGUUCUGUUUGCACUAACUCGGACUUGUGAGCGCGACAAGCGGAGAAACUCGUGCUCUCCAGCUAGCAACGGCGCGGUGUCUGCGCCGGCACGGCGGUGGUGCGAGACAUUCUAUUUUAACCGCUAUAUAUGUUGCGGGUAACAGUGUAUACUAGUGAACAUUUGCCUGAAAGCGCUGUUCGUCUCCGAAGGUCGUUUGUUCAGGCGGAAAAGUGAGUUUGGAGAGAGUUGACGUGUCGCAGGAUAAAUAGGGGUCGGCGAGUCUCACAAUAGGCCCAGCUGUAUGUAGCCGUCCGUUCACAGCGCCUGUUCGAGGCCCGUUCACUGGAAGCGGAUGACUUCGCUUUCCCAAAGCGGUUUAGCGAACGCGUGUAACGUUCGCCAAUGCCGAGCCGCGAAAGUGGAACGAAGCGGCAAGUCAACUGCACAGAUGGCCUGGCAACGGCAGGAUCUCUUUCCGAGAUAAUCCGCUUCCGUCCUCUCCUGUGGUAUGUCUUCUCUGCAAAAGGCCACUCCGUCCCUUUUUGGCCAACAGUCGCAGAGCGUAGUGCCUCGUAAAGCACUCAAUGUAAACUUUUGACGACAUACCCUUGCACUGCUCGUUGAUGCCUGGAACUGUCCGUGGUCUCUGACCUUCGCGCGUUA
rnacentral:lncRNA from 1 species